UGAAGACUAGUCUAAUGCACUAGCAAUAUGUCAAUAGCCCUCCUACAGCACUUGCCCCAGUGUAAGCACAUGGAUGAUGGUGUGGAGCUCCCAUUGUAGUCCAGCGCAUGAUGAGUUUACAGGACUGAGCCCAAGGUGCAGGACCCAAGGAGGAGGGCAAAUCUGGAUCUGUGCUACCCUUAUAUCCCCUCUCUCCAAUCCUGAGGAAGGGGCCAGUCCCUUGCACAAGUGGCUGAAGUUUGAGUGUCAUAUCACAGCACUCCAGUGUGGAGGUCAAGUAUGAAGUGAUUAGUGAGGUCCAUAUCAGAGGAAAGGAAACAAAUAGAGAACACCUGACACUCCAGGAGCUGCUACUUCAGAGUGAACAGAUACAAGCUCAUAAUAGAGUGGUAACAUCAUAACUCCAGAG